UACAGAGGGUGCAAGCGUUAAUCGGAAUUACUGGGCGUAAAGCGCGCGUAGGUGGUUCGUUAAGUUGGAUGUGAAAUCCCCGGGCUCAACCUGGGAACUGCAUUCAAAACUGACGAGCUAGAGUAUGGUAGAGGGUGGUGGAAUUUCCUGUGUAGCGGUGAAAUGCGUAGAUAUAGGAAGGAACACCAGUGGCGAAGGCGACCACCUGGAC
rnacentral:rRNA from 1 species